rnacentral:lncRNA from 10 species
UUGGCAUGCAGAGAAUUUCUUCCUUUACUCAUAGACACUAUUGCUUCUUGAUGCAUCCCUUUCCAGUCUCUUCAUUUGAGAGAACAGAGAUUAAACAGAUUAUUUCAAGAUAGAGAAAUAAUGUUUCUAAAUCCAAUAUUUGCCUGUGAGGAGACCUCCUGUGAAGCUGUAAACUCUUUGGAAACUGUGGAUAAGGUUGGUUGACUAUUGGGAGUACCACUUGAGGCCAAAGGUGUAAGCUGAGAUAGGAGUGUCUGUACAGAAGAGGUGAGAAGGCCAAGACAAAUUGAUGGCAAGUCUAGCAAUUUCACCUGACUUGCCUCUGAUGCUUGAGUGUUGUAUCAGCUGGGCCCAGUUCAACAGCAACAACUCCUACCAUCAACCACAGCUAGCAGAGCACAGCUGCCAGCAAGAUGUCGGUACCCUCAAAACUUCAUUGCUUAUGGAAUGUCGUCUGGACCACACAAGAAUCUUAAUCAGGGUGUGCGUACUCAGGUUGUACAUAGUAAAUCCAUUCUAACAUUCCCAUAUCUUCAAUUUUUCUCACUCCUUCCUCAAUACCAUGUUAGGAUAUUCCAGAUUUUUCAUUGUAUUUGCUAUAUUGAAGCCUCAAAGAGGUAUCCCAGAAGAAAAUUUUGGGGUAGACAUCAGUGUCAUUUCUAGAUCAUCAAAUUCAAAGGCUUUUGUGAUUGCCUUUAUUCAAUAAAUUCUCCCAUACCCAGCCUAAUAUUGCACCUCUUUGGGUAUAAAUCUGAAGCUUUAUUCUGACAUUUGCUUCUCAGGUUGCUGACAGUAUUGAUUAGUCAGGUGUGUCAAUUCCUUUGACAUAAACUAUUUUCUCCUGAAGAUGGAUUAUACUUCUCUGCUCUGCCUGUGCUGAGGCCUAACCCUAGCUACUGACUAGACGCAAUAAAGGGAGGUGGGUAGACCAUGAGGGAAAGCAUUAUCCGGAGAGGCACUCACCUCUGAUUAUGUCAUUGUAAAAUCUGAGGCUUGGAGAAGAGGGCUUCUUCUGCCAUCCUGGAAAUUCAAUAGAACUUGUGAGUUCAAUAUUUUCAGGCUUGUUUACCCAAAUUACCCUGUUUCAGGUCUCAACAUUCCAUUCUUUCCUAUGAAGCCACUGACUUUAGCAUAGGGGCCUCUUGAGUCUUUGCGUUCAGGAUACAUCGAGGCUCUGCCACUCUUUCAGUAAAUCCUGAGCCUGAUUUUCAGCACAUUCUUAUGCCACAGGAGAGGAAAGUCUCCCUAAAAACUUCCCCGGAAGUUCUUCAGAUUUCACCUUGUUCCGUGUUAUGGCAUUUGGCUGACCCGAGCUGAGAAUUUUAUAUUUUCAACAUCUAUAAUGCUUAAAGAGAAGCCAUUCUACACAAUCCUUAUGAUGAUUGCUGACCUCAUACUUUUAAAACAUCACAACUUUCAUAUAUGCUAAUGCUUCCCCUUUCACCUGCGUUUCAUUCCAAUUCAACAAAGGUUAAAACUUCCAUAAUCAUGGUACCACUGCUAACCAGGAAUUUUCAGUAUCCUAUUUACCACUAGCACUGAAAUCCUCAUUGCUAGAAGGCCAGUGAGUAGUCCAGUUCUAAAAUCCCAUCUUUAUGGUCUGCUUUCUAAGAAUAUUCCUAUUACCGACUCUCUUGCCCUGAGCUCUGGAGAACAAAGCCUAAGACAAAGACUUAACUAUUAUUACCUUGUUAGAAAAUGCAUUUCCGGGGUAUAGGAGUGAGGGGAAAAGGGAGGGAGUAAGGGAGAAAAACCAAUACAAGGAUAGGUUUCCAU